rnacentral:rRNA from 1 species
UACGUAGGGGGCAAGCGUUGUCCGGAUUUAUUGGGCGUAAAGCGCGUGUAGGCGGUUCGGUAAGUCCGCUGUGAAAGUCGGGGGCUCAACCCUCGAAUGCCGGUGGAUACUGUCGGACUAGAGUACGGAAGAGGCGAGUGGAAUUCCUGGUGUAGCGGUGAAAUGCGCAGAUAUCAGGAGGAACACCAAUUGCGAAGGCAGCUCGCUGGGACGUUACUGACGCUGAGACGCGAAAGCGUGGGGAGCAAACAGG